GGCUAAAACUUGCGGAUCGAAACUUUAGGUUUGAGUUUCGUUUGUUUCGAUUUGUUAGGUGCAUUUUCACAGCCAUCUCCGACAUUGAACUGUUGGGAUGGCUGUGGCGAGUCUACGGUCAAGUACAAUUUCUUAAUUGGAUUGAAUCAAAAACAAUUUUCAUGACUAGUAAUGAAGCAAUCAGGUCCUAAAAUUAAAAAUUUGCUACAUUUAAGAAAGUUUCAAUGAUAACCAAUUUAGUUUUCAAGUUGAAAGUCUACUUGUCAUCUUGGGAGUUUUCACUGGAAUUGUGCGAGAAAAACAUUAUUAAAACUUAUUAUUUUACAGAAAAAGCUGAGAAUAGUGGCCAUCAGUCAUUCUGCACUAAGAUGAAAAUCUGCAAUUGAAAGAACUUUUCUAAUAAAUUAUUCAUAAUAUUUCGAAAAGGAUCUAUUCAAUAUUACAAAGAAUGGAAGCAAAUCCUCUUUAUAUAUAUACCAUCUUUUAUUAUAAUUGCUUCCUAUGGUUCAAAAUGGUUCAGCUGCCAAGAAUAAAUAUAAUUUGAUAACAGGAAUAAAUAUGCGUCAUGCAAUAAAAUGCUACUUGAUUUAGAACUUAUUAGAUCUUAUAUUAAUGUUAUUUAAUAAUUAAAUAUAUUAUUCUUUAAAAAAAUUUUACAUACUUUAAAGCCUACUUUAUGGUUUUUUAAUUUAUGUUUAUAAAUAUAUUAAUUUGAAUAAGAAAUUAUGAUGUGGGUAAAAAAGAAUUUGUUAUAUUAAAAUGUGCAUAUUUGAAAAUUUUAAUAACGAAUUAUGAUAUAUUGUAUAUUUCUUUAAAACAAAAACAACAAACCAUAUUUUUUAGCAGAAUUUUUGAUGGCAUUUUAAUAUUCUUGUAAAUACUGUAAUUAAAGUUAAAAAGAUUUAUCAUUCUUUAGAUUUUGUUCUGAUAACAUAUGGAAAUCUUGAAAAUAUUUCAGUUAUAUAUAUUUUGGAAAUCUUAUAGAUUCUUCCCUAUGAACAUGAAUUAAGGCAUAUUUUUGUAGUAUAUAAAAAAAAAUCUUGUGUUUAUUUAAAGUAUGAACUUGUAGAAUUUUUGCAUAUUUCAAAUGUGAACAUAAAAAGAAGUCGUAUCCCCUUUAUUGUAAGGUUUUUGUCACUUUUAUGGCAGAAAGAAUGAAAUUUCAAAUGAGUUUUUGAGCAAAGCUAAGUCGUGUGCAAAACAGAGUUGUGUAUUAAAGUAAGCAAUACUGAAUUCAUGCAUCCAAACUCAGUUGAGCUCAACUAAAAUAAAAUUUGAUUUUCAUGUUUCAAAGCUAUAUUGAGACAAAAUCUUUAACAUGCUUUGUUCAAAAUAGUGAUUAAGAGUAUAUAAAAUUCAGAUACAGGCUCCCAAGAUGAACUUCUCUUCUAAAUAUGAACUUCUUCGAACUUACAUUUAAUCUUGCAUAUAUUUCGGAUAUUAUUUCUGGAGAUUUUUGUCUGUUGGGAUAAGAAGUUGUACCUUAUUCUAUGUUAAGGUUUUGUUAUCAUUUUGGUGGCCAUGCUGAAAUGCGAGUUGAGAAAAUAUGCCUUACUCAGAGUUAUGUAACAAUCCAUAUCAAAGUUUCAUGCAAAGGGAACACAAUAUUCAAGCAGCUUCUAGUGAAAAGGCUUUGUUCAAAACAGUUAAUAAAAGCAAAUUAAGUUCUGAAGGCAGGCUCCCUAAAUAAAUUUAUCUUCCAAGCAUAAACAUGUUUGUUGUGUUCCAUUUAAUCUUGUGUAUAUUUGCAGUGCAUUACCUUUGUCUGUUCCUGUAAUUUAGCCUGUUGCAAUAAGGACUUGCACUAUGUUUAAGUUUCGUUACCAUUAUUAUGGUUGCCAAACUGCAAUCAGGACUUGUGCUAUGUUAAAGUUUCGUUACCAUUAUUAUGGUUGCCAAACUGCAAUAAGGACUUGCGCUAUGUUUAAGUUUCGUUACCAUUAUUAUGGUUGCCAAACUGCAAUAAGGACUUGCACUAUGUUUAAGUUUCGUUACCAUUAUUAUGGUUGCCAAACUGCAGUAAGGACUUGCACUAUGUUUAAGUUUCGUUACCAUUAUUAUGGUUACCAAACUGAAAUUUGAGGUGGCUUGAAUAAAAUGCUUCAUUCAAAACUAAGUUGUGUUUUAAUUCAUAUUAAGGUUUCGUGCCUUAAUGUAGAGGGGGCACAAUAUUAAAACGGGCUUCUAGUGAACAUGCAUUGUUCAAAGGUAUAUUAAGUUCUGAAAGUAGGCUCUUAAAAAUAAAAUUCUCUUCUAAAACAAACAUGUUUAUAGUCUUCCAUUGAAUCUUGUAUGCAUUUUGUAAUGUAUUGUCUUUGUCUGUUGUUCUUGUAAGUAUGCUUGUUGAGAAAAGUUGAACCUUUAUUUCAUGCUAAGGUUUGUCACCUUUGUGAUGGCCCAACUGAGAUGAGCUUGAGUAAAUAUGCUUCACUCAAAACUAAGUUGUGUGUCAAUUCAUAUUAAGGUUUCAUAUCUUUAUGUGAGGGAGGGGGGACACAAUAUUAAAACAGGCUUCUAGAGAACAUACUUUGUUCAAAAAGGUGAUUAAGGGCAGAUACAAGUUCUGAAGAUAAAUUCCCAAGAUGAGAUUCUCUUCUAAACCAUAACAUGUUUGGACUAGACAUUGAAAAAAAUUGUAUAUGAAUUUGAGAUGUACAAUUUUUAUAGAAUUUUACUUUUGAAUAAUGAAGAGAAGGCACUGCUGAGUAAACUGAAGAUAAACUUUGGAUACUGAAUAAAUACAAUGGACAACAUAAUACAAAUUUAUGAUUGUAAGCUCUAAAAUAUUAUUUGAGCUAUCAUCCAAUUUAGAUUGUUACGGCAGCAACUUUUCGAAUGGCUACUUUAUGGGAAGACUGUUGCCAGUUGUUAUGGGAUAUGACAAAAUGAAAAUAUAGUGUUAUGACUGUCUGUAAUUGUUGGAGGUUUAUUAGUUAAUUUAUAUAAAUAGAUAAUACUAGUUUAUGAACUGAGGCUUAACUGACAGAUGUAUGUAUUAAAUAAAUCCAAAUUGAACUUUAUACAUUUUAUGUAAUAUAUAAUGUAAAUUAUGUACAUACAUUUUAUGUAAUAUAUAUAAUGUAAAUUAUAUAUAUUGUGAAAGACCGAAAUAAAAUAAUGUCAACAUUGUCCAGUGAAUGCCGACAUUCCUCAAAAUAGCGAACUACAUGAAUGCGUACAAUCACUGGAGAAAGAAGACAUAUCAGAUACUGAUCUUUCCCUGUAAAAUCUAUACAAAUAAUGCAUAUGCUUUUCAGUUCUUUGUUAAUGCUGUUAUAAUCAGUUCAGUGAUUUUGUUAUUUUUAAGUAUAUAUUUUUCAUGUUUUAUAUUUUUAUACAAAUGAUCCUCCAACUGCUCUAUCACUUGUCGAUUAUAUGAUGAAGUAAUUCUUGUAAUCUAAAGAGUAAGCAUCCUCACUCUUCAGAAUACAUGUUUUUUUGUAUGGGCUCCACAUGAAUUGGAUCCGUCAUACCCAUUAUGCUGCAAUGUUAUAGAUUAAAUGUUAUUAAUGCAAAAUAUUUUGAUUAAAAAAAAGUGCAAGGAAAUGUAUUUGUUCUAAGUUUCUUAUUUUAUUUCAGUACAUUUGGUUUUGCUUAUAGUAAAAUAUAUAAUCAGAAAAUGUCAAUCUGUAAUCAGUGUUAAAUAUGAUAGAUUCUUACUAUUUCAUUUAAUUUUUAAUUGCCAUGAUAGAAUAUAUUGCAUGGAAAAAGUGCAGUGAAAAAUUUAUUAAAAUUUAAAGGCCAGUUAUGAAUUUCCUUAUGCUUUUUCUCAUUCAAAGUACUUUGCAUUAUUUAGUUUUUUUAACCCUAUGAGCCCUGGCCGCCCAAUAUUGCCCUGUUCUACAGGGGCCCGAUUCAGGUACUUUGGGACGAUUUAAAUGGAAUGCUCAUUGCGAAAUACCUUUCACUCCUUAAACUCGUUUAACUGCUCCAAAGUGCCUGAAGCAGGCCCCUGUAGAACAGAGCGAUAUCGGGCGGUCAGGGCUCAUACGGUUAAUCAAUAACACUGCAGCUGAAGUAGCCCAAUAUCUUUUCAAAGUUUUAAUCUCAUUGCUUUUCAUUUAUAAUAAAAAUGUUAACUUUUCUAAUCAUGCUAUACAUUUAAGAGUAUUAAAAUAUUUUUUAAAAUCAUUAACUGAAAGUUCAUAUUUGAAAAUGAAAAUAUAUUUAAAUUACCAAGUUAAUUUUUUUAAAAUUUUAUUUUAAAAUAAAAUAUAAAAAAUAUAUAAUAUUAAUGAUUUUUCAACUUUGAAUUGAUAUUAGGCUUCCCACCAAACACUGACUAACUAGUCUUAACAGAUUGUAGCUGGCUGUAACGUUAGGUUAAAAAUUAAAAUUCUUUUAAAUUACAGAUGCCUAAUUUUUAUAGCAGUUUUGUUCUGUAAAAAGUAUUAAUCAUAUCAGUUUAAAUUCAAUAACAUAAAGGAUCGAAAUUAUUCCACUGAAUUCUUAUUUAAAAUAAAUUUUAAAACUUGGGUUCUCCAAGAUCCUUCCAUUUUGAAGGUACAUAAAGGCUAUUUUGAGAGUGACCUUGUAAUUUUGUAUUAUGGCGAGAUUAUAAAAAUGCAGCUACACUGAGAUCCUAACUUCAAAAAUUUCAAAUUCUGGAAUUUGAUCUUGAUGGAUAUAAUACACACUCAAUCUACAUCCACAAUAAAUUUAUGGAAUUGGAUCUUGUCUUGUAUACUUAGGCUAUCAAAAUAAAAUAAAGAAAAUAUUAGAAAAUAAACUUACAUAAUAUAAAGAUUAAAAAAAAAAAAAAAGAAUUUAGAACCAAAAUUGAUAAUAAAAAGCGAUUAUAUUCCAAAUUUCAGAUUUUCUUACUAAAUUACCAUAAUACUUUCUCUGUGUACCUUGCAUAUUUUGAAUUUCCAAUUCAGGUACACUCCAAAAUAAAAUUGAACACAAUUUGAAGAUAGGGGGGAAAAAGAGAAAAUUAUUCAUAUCUAUAGUACAGUUUGAUCCAUCAGCUUUUUUGUAUGGCCUAAAAUAUUGAAAAAAUUCAGUAUUUUCACCAAAAAGUUCAGUGUGCUGAUAAAUUGAGGCAUCAUGGUUAAGCCAUAUAAACUGGAGAAUGGAGGCUGUUUGUAUUUCUUUUCUAUUUCUUCCUCCUCUCCUCCUAAUAAAUCAAUGACUUAUGCUACAUGGCAUUUGCUAUGAUUAAUCUUGCCAAAUAAGCUGUUGGAAGAUAGACUGGGUGAGGCAUAUAACAGAUGACAGCAGAAAUUUUUAUAUUAAGAUUUAAUGAAUGAAUAUCUGUAAAUCUAGUUUAUUCAGAUAUUGAAAUGUAAUAAAGUGAUAUGUGUGAAUAUAUAUAUAUAUAAUAUAAUUGCCUAUAAAUUAUUAAUGCAUUGAUGUCUUAAAAAUUGUACUCGGGGUUUCCGAGUUAUUUAAUUCUUAAAUAUAUUUUUUUAAUUUUUAGUUUCCUAUUUAUAAAAUCUAUUUAUUUCAGUGGAAUUUAGAACAAAACUGCUAGUUAUAUAAUUUUCCAUAUAACUGUGUAAAAUUUUGUUCAGAUAUUACUUCAAAAAUUCUACAGUACUAAUAUACAAUUAUAGUUUUCUAUUUUAAAAUUUUAUUUGAAUAAACUUUACUGUUAUAAAACAAUCUCUCCCUACACCUUUUUGGAAUAACUAGAACAGUUUAUUUAUUAUUACCCUCUUAGUUGAAAUUAUUUAAAUUUUACUUUCAAUUUUGAAAAAAAUUAUGUUCUUGUUUAAACUUUUUUUAGUUGUCUAAUUGUUAAAAUGUUUGAAAUUCGUUUUUCAGAGCUAUUAUUUUAUGAAAAUUUGUUAUGUCAAAAAAAAAAAAAAAAAAAAAAAAAUUUAUGCACCUUAAAUAGACACUGAUGUUAAACACGGUAACAUCUAGAAGCAGUAAUGAAUGUUACACUGUUAAUGAAGUAGUAUAGUUUUAUUGAAAUAAGAUUUUAAAUUAUAAGUAAUUUAAAAUAUUCAAUAGGGAAUCAGCUACCAUUUUAUGGAUUUCUGGAUUGUAAAUUUUACUUAAAAUUCAAACCCUGAUAAUCUAAGGGAUAAAUUAAUAUUUACAAUUAAAGCAUUAAUAUUGGAAUUUUCUUUCCUAAAAUAUUCCGUAAAAACAAUUGUACCUCAAAUCUAAAAUUUGUUGUUGAUUCCCUGUUGCUUUACCAAAUCUAUUUGAAAAUUUGCUGUAAAAUGAAUUAUUUUAAAUUUGUUAAUAAUUAUUUUGUAUUGACCUUGUUACAGUUUUCUGCAAUAAAUCAUAACAAUAGAAAGACAAUAUUUGUUUCAUGACUCAUUUUCUAGUUUAAAAAUAUUUUAGAAUGAAUAAUUAACUACAUUGAAGAGACCUUUGUUAUCAUCUUGUUAAUGACAUGUUUAUUCUCUGUAAGAAGAAAAGCAAGUGAUAUCAGAUUUAAUUCUAUUUACUGAAAAUAUGUAUGAUAAAUUUGUGACGUUUUGGAACAUGUCAACAGGGUAGGGAGCCUUAAAUCGAUUGGACUGAUUACUUCGUUUAGGACUCAACACAAAAGCGGCUGUGCAUCAGUGUCCAAAAAAUUUACUCAACCUUAUAUAUUUUAACCGAUAUAAAACCCACAUUAGCUUAAAGAAUGCCUCGUGAAGAAACUAAAGAUAUGAUGGAACAAAGUACCCAGAUGAAAAUGGUGAAUGAUGCGAGAGAUGACGAUUUUCUAUUUCAUAUGAGUAAAACCGAGACAGGAAGAUCAACGUUUGAAUCUGACAAUGUUUACAAUGAAUGCAUGGUCGCAGAAGAAGAAAAUCAUUUUCCAGAACAAAAUCUGAAUGAAAAUACACCUUUUGUAAAAAACAGGCAAAUUCUUACUUCGGAUGAUAUUAAGAACAAUACAGUAACUGUACCAACAUAUGCGAACGAAAAGACUCCUAAGAGUCUGUCUUGGAAUGAACGGAAAUCCUUGAAGAUUCGUUACACCAAGCAGUAUCUUCUAGAUCGUAGGUAUGAUCCCUUGUCGAUGGAAUUUCCAAACUGUCUGCUUAAAUUUCUGCAAUCGAGAGAAGUACCUUUGAAAGAAACCGAAAAUUACAACGAAUAUCGGAGCAUGGACCACAUUCUUUUCUACACCAGUCUUCCAUACACCAGAAUGCGCAAUUCGCUUCCAACCGGAAUGAAACGAACACCAUUUAAGUUGUGUUACUGAAAAAAAAUAUCUAGAGAUAUUCAUAACAAAAUGCUAUUCAGAUGCUUUUUUUUUCUCAAAAGGUUCUCAAUUUUAUACUGAAAUA